CACACGGUAUAGUCAAUUCAUAAUUAGUUUCGAAAAUUCAAACUGAAUACGGCACUCAUCUUUAUAACAGUACACUAAUAAAAGCAGGAAAAUGAAAUUAAUUACUAUUACAUUAUUUGUGAUACUUUGUGCAGCAUACACGAUUGCAUGGAAUGAUGAUGGAGUAUCUAAAAUUUCAGAGAUAGAGUUAAGAGUUUGACAAACUUGGGUCAAUUAAAAGAACCCAGUGAUCUACGACCAUGUAUGUGCACUAAUGUAUCCGUGCAUUACGGUUUCCAAAUUUUAACAGAAUAAAUU